rnacentral:rRNA from 1 species
UGAGUAAUGUCUGGGAAACUGCCUGAUGGAGGGGGAGUAACUACUGGAAACGGUAGCUAAUACCGCAUAACGUCGCAAGACCAAAGAGGGGGACCUUCGGGCCUCUUGCCAUCGGAUGUGCCCAGAUGGGAUUAGCUAGUAGGUGGGGUAAAGGCUCACCUAGGCGACGAUCCCUAGCUGGUCUGAGAGGAUGACCAGCCACACUGGAACUGAGACACGGUCCAGACUCCUACGGGAGGCAGCAUG